rnacentral:rRNA from 1 species
GAUGAACACUAGCGGCAGGCCUAACACAUGCAAGUCGAGGGGCAGAGGAAGCUUGCUUCCUUGAGACCGGCGCACGGGUGCGUAACGCGUAUGCAAUCUACCUUUUACAGAGGGAUAGCCCUGAGAAAUUUGGAUUAAUACCUCAUAGUAUAUAUCAUUCGCAUGUUUGGUAUAUUAAAGUUCCAACGGUAAAAGAUGAGCAUGCGUCCCAUUAGUUAGUUGGUAAGGUAACGGCUUACCAAGACGAUGAUGGGUAUGGGUCCUGAGAGGGCUAUCCCCCACACUGGUACUGAGACACGGACCAGACUCCUACGGGAGGCAGCAGUGAGGAAUAUUGGUAAAUGGACGCAAGUCUGAACCAGUCAUGCCGCGUGCAGGAAGACGGUCCUAUGGAUUGUAAACUGCUUUUGUACGGGAAGAAACACUCCUACGUGUAGGAGCCUGACGGUACCGUAAGAAUAAGGAUCGGCUAACUCCGUGCCAGCCGCCGCGGUAACAC